rnacentral:rRNA from 1 species
AUAACAGGCUUAUCGCGCCCAAGAGUUCAUAUCGACGGCGCGGUUUGGCACCUCGAUGUCGGCUCAUCGCAUCCCGGAGCUGUAGCAGGUUCCAAGGGUUGGGCUGUUCGCCCAUUAAAGCGGUACGUGAGCUGGGUUUAGAACGUCGUGAGACAGUUCGGUCCCUAUCUGUCGUGGGCGCAGGAGAUUUGAGGAGAGCUGGCCUUAGUACGAGAGGACCGGGCUGGACGAACCUCUGGUUUACGAGCUGUUCCGCCAGGAGCAUCGCUCGGUAGUUACGUUCGGAAGGGAUAAGCGCUGAAAGCAUAUAAGCGCGAAGCCCACUCCAAGAUGAGAUCUCCCGGACCAUAAGGUCCCUAAAGGCCCCUGGAAGACUACCAGGUUGAUAGGCCCGGUGUGUAAGGCGAGUUAAUCGCUUCAGCUAACGGGUACUAAUCGGCCGUGAGGCUUGACCAUAAAA